rnacentral:tRNA from 1 species
GCCUGACUGGUUCAGUGGGAAAAGCAUGUGAUUCUUGAUCUCGGGUUGUGAGUUCAAGCCCCACGUUGGGUG